rnacentral:rRNA from 1 species
GUGGGGAAUCUUGCACAAUGGGCGAAAGCCUGAUGCAGCCAUGCCGCGUGAAUGAUGAAGGCCUUAGGGUUGUAAAAUUCUUUCGUCAGGGAUGAUAAUGACCGUACCUGAAGAAGAAGCCCCGGCUAACUUCGUGCCAGCAGCCGCGGUAAUACGAAGGGGGCUAGCGUUGUUCGGAAUUACUGGGCGUAAAGCGCACGUAGGCGGACUUUUAAGUCAGGUGUGAAAUCCCGGGGCUCAACCUCGGAACUGCAUUUGAAACUGGAAGUCUUGAGAUCAGGAGAGGUUAGCGGAAUACCGAGUGUAGAGGUGAAAGUCGUAGAUAUUCGGUGGAACACCAGUGGCGAAGGCGGCUAACUGGACUGAUACUGACGCUGAGGUGCGAAAGUGUGGGGAGCAAACAGGAUUAGAAACCCGUGUAGUCC